GUGCUGAUCUUGGCGGCACAUAUACUAAACAUUGGAACGAUACAGAGUAGACUUGCACGGCCCCUGUGCAAGGGUGACACACAAAUUUGUGAGGCUUUCCAUAGUUUU